rnacentral:rRNA from 1 species
GACGAACGCUGGCGGCGUGCUUAACACAUGCAAGUCGAGCGGAAAGAGCCUGCUUGCGCCAGGAGCCCGCGGCGCGAGGGGGAGAAAAGCGCGGGAAUCACCCGGGUAGGGGGGGAUAACAACCGGAAACGGGGGCAAAUACGGCAGACGACGAGAGCGAGAUGGUGGGGGGUGGUCGAAACCGAUGGGAGGAGAUGGGCUGAGGGCGUAUUAGCUAGUUGGUGGGGUAAUGGCCUACCAAGGCGACGAUGGGUAGCUGGCCUGGGAGGUUGAGCGGCCACACUGGGCCUGCGACACGGCCCAGACUCCUACGGGAGGCAGCAGUGGGGAAUCUUGGACAAUGGGCGCGCGCCUGAUCCAGCAACGCCGCGUGUGUGAUGACGGCCUUCGUGUUGUAAACCGCUUUCAGCUGGGACGAAGCGGUAGUGACGUUACCUGCAGAAGAAGCACCGGCUAACUACGUG